rnacentral:hammerhead_ribozyme from 1 species
AUACUGAUGAAGAGUCUCAAGCACCAGGACGAAACAGCUGUCCAGUAC